rnacentral:rRNA from 1 species
UACGUAGGAUCCGAGCGUUGUCCGGAUUUACUGGGUGUAAAGGGUGCGCAGGCGGACGGAUAAGUCAGAGGUGAAAUCCCACAGCUCAACUGUGGAACUGCCUUUGAUACUGUUUGUCUUGAGUGUGAGAGAGGCUCGUGGAAUUUCCGGUGUAGCAGUGAAAUGCGUAGAUAUCGGAAAGAACACCAGUGGCGAAGGCGGCGAGCUGGCUCACAACUGACGCUCAGGCACGAAAGCGUGGGGAUCGAACAGG